rnacentral:lncRNA from 1 species
UUGAGAGUUAGUCAUAGGAGAAUAAUUAAAUGAAUGGAAUCAGUUGUAGGUGAAAAUAUUAAGUAUAGAGGAAGAUAUUUGAGUUUCAAGUUUGUUAGUUGAAAUUUAAGUUUCAUGAGAAAUAUAGCUUAAAUUUUCUUUUUUUUUUUUGUUGGUUUAAAUGAGUCUUUGGCUGAAUAUUGAUUGUGUAUAUUGUGUAGUUAUUAUGUG